AUCUGGGGUAUUUCUGUAUGUAUUCUGAUGUGUUCAUCUGUGUUACUUUUGUGUGUAGUAGAGACGUGGAGAGGUACAUGCCAUUGUUUCACUCCCUAGUUCUAAUCCUUAGGCGCCUGUGUGGCUGCACAUAGGAUUUACCAUCAACAGGUCAGACUGCCAUGUUCAUGGCCGUAGUGAUAGCAUGGGCAGAAUGAGAUAUCACCUUGUUAUUCUGUUUUCAGGGCUAGUACUUUUCCUAUUAUUUUUGAGCUAUGGCUGACGGAUCGAGGAAGCGACUCGGGGAGCAUCUUAUGCCAAGACGCUCAGCAGCAGCCCGCUUCUACUAACUACCACACCUGUUAGACUCUGUGCAGUUUUACUGUUUGAGACUUAGCCUGUGCUCGGUUAGUGAGUGUUGUACCAUCUACAAUAAAUUCUUUUAAUCACCGAUCCUGA